rnacentral:rRNA from 1 species
AUUGAACGCUGGCGGAAUGCUUUACACAUGCAAGUCGAACGGUAAGGCCCUUCGGGGUACACGAGUGGCGAACGGGUGAGUAACGCGUGGGAACGUACCCUUUAGUUCGGGAUAACGAUUGGAAACGAUCGCUAAUACCGGAUACGUCCGAGAGGAGAAAGAUUUAUCGCUAAAGGAGCGGCCCGCGUUAGAUUAGGUAGUUGGUGGGGUAAAGGCCUACCAAGCCUGUGAUCUAUAGCUGGUCUGAGAGGAUGAUCAGCCACACUGGGACUGAGACACGGCCCAGACUCCUACGGGAGGCAGCAGUGGGGAAUAUUGGACAAUGGGGGAAACCCUGAUCCAGCAAUGCCGCGUGAGUGAAGAAGGCCUUCGGGUUGUAAAGCUCUUUUAUUAACGACGAUAAUGACGGUAGUUAAUGAAUAAGCCCCGGCUAACUUCGUGCCAGCAGCCGCCGUAA